CAGGGAUUGCCCCAGUAACGGCGAGUGAAGCGGCAACAGCUCAAAUUUGAAAUCUGGCCCCAGGCCCGAGUUGUAAUUUGCAGAGGAUGCUUUUGGCGCGGUGCCUUCCGAGUUCCCUGGAACGGGACGCCAUAGAGGGUGAGAGCCCCGUACGGUUGGACACCAAGUCUUUGUAAAGCUCCUUCGACGAGUCGAGUAGUUUGGGAAUGCUGCUCAAAAUGGGAGGUAUAUUUCUUCUAAAGCUAAAUAUUGGCCAGAGACCGAUAGCGCACAAGUAGAGUGAUCGAAAGAUGAAAAGCACUUUGAAAAGAGGGUUAAACAGCACGUGAAAUUGUUAAAAGGGAAGCGCUUAUGACCAGACUUGCGCCCGGUGAAUCACCCAGCUCUCGCGGCUGGGGCACUUUGCCGGCUCAGGCCAGCAUCAGCUCGCUGUCGGGGACAAAAGCUUCGGGAACGUAGCUCUCUUCGGGGAGUGUUAUAGCCCGUUGCACAAUACCCUUCGGCGGGCUGAGGUACGCGCUCCGCAAGGAUGCUGGCGUAAUGGUCAUCAGCGACCCGUCUUGAAACACGGACCAAGGAGUCAACCUUAUGUGCGAGUGUUUGGGUGUCAAACCCCUACGCGUAAUGAAAGUGAACGCAGGUGAGAGCUUCGGCGCAUCAUCGACCGAUCCUGAUGUUCUCGGAUGGAUUUGAGUAAGAGCAUAUAGGGUUGGACCCGAAAGAAGGUGAACUAUGCGUGUAUAGGGUGAAGCCAGAGGAAACUCUGGUGGAGGCUCGCAGCGGUUCUGACGUGCAAAUCGAUCGUCAAAUAUGCGCAUGGG
rnacentral:rRNA from 1 species